rnacentral:rRNA from 1 species
GUUAUAUGGUCAAGUGAACAAGCGCACAGGGUGGAUGCCUUGGCAGCUGGAGGCGAUGAAGGACGUGGAAGCCUGCGAUAAGCUUCGGGGAGCUGGCAAACAAGCUUUGAUCCGGAGAUGUCCGAAUGGGGAAACCCACUCAGGAAAACCUGAGUAUCGCACACUGAAUCCAUAGGUGUGCGAGGCGAACCCGGGGAACUGAAACAUCUAAGUACCCGGAGGAAAAGAAAUCAACCGAGAUUCCCUUAGUAGCGGCGAGCGAACGGGGAUUAGCCCUUAAGUUGGCAUUGUUCUAGUGGAACCCUCUGGAAAGUGGGGCCAUAGCGGGUGACAGCCCCGUACACGAAAGGGCAUUGCCGAUGAAAACGAGUAGGUCGGGACACGUGGUAUCCUGAUUGAAGAUGGGGGGACCAUCCUCCAAGGCUAAAUACUCCCAGCUGACCGAUAGUGAACCAGUACCGUGAGGGAAAGGCGAAAAGAACCCCGGAGAGGGGAGUGAAAUAGACCCUGAAACCCUGUGCGUACAAGCAGUGGGAGCCUGUCUGCGGACGGGUGACUGCGUACCUUUUGUAUAAUGGGUCAGCGAGUUAUUCUCAGUGGCGAGGUUAACCGUAUAGGGGAGGCGUAGCGAAAGCGAGUCUUAAUAGGGCGUUAGUCGCUGGGAAUAGACCCGAAACCGGGCGAUCUAUCCAUGGGCAGGUUGAAGGUUGGGUAACACCGACUGGAGGCCCGAACCGAAAUCUGUUGAAAAAGAUUCGGAUGAGUUGUGGAUCGGAGUGAAAGGCUAAUCAAGCUCGGAGAUAGCUGGUUCUCCUCGAAAGCUAUUUAGGUAGCGCCUCAUGUAUCACUGCUGGGGGUAGAGCACUGUUUCGGCUAGGGGGUCAUCCCGACUUACCAAACCGAUGCAAACUCCGAAUACCAGGAAGUGUCAGCGAGGGAGACAGACGGCGGGUGCUAACGUCCGUCGUCAAAAGGGAAACAACCCAGACCGCCAGCUAAGGUCCCCAAGUGACAGUUAAGUGGGAAACGAUGUGGGAAGGCACAGACAGCCAGGAGGUUGGCUUAGAAGCAGCCAUCCUUUAAAGAAAGCGUAAUAGCUCACUGGUCGAGUCGGCCUGCGCGGAAGAUAUAACGGGGCUCAAACUGUCCACCGAAGCUGCGGACUUGGCAUUGCCAAGUGGUAGAGGAGCGUUCUGUAGGCCGAUGAAGGUGAGUCGAGAGGCUUGCUGGAGGUAUCAGAAGUGCGAAUGCUGACAUGAGUAACGACAAAGGGGGUGAAAAACCCCCUCGCCGAAAGACCAAGGGUUCCUGUCCAACGUUAAUCGGGGCAGGGUGAGUCGGAUCCUAAGGUGAGGCCGAAAGGCGUAAUCGAUGGCAAACAGGUUAAUAUUCCUGUACCGCUCGUUGCUGCGAUGGAGUGACGGAGAAGGCUAGGCCAGCCUGGCGUUGGUAGUCCAGGUUUAAGCGAGUAGGGAGUGUGCUUAGGCAAAUCCGGGCGCACAAUCCUGAGACGUGAUGACGAUCCCUCCACGGAGGGAGAAGUGGUUGAUGCCCUGCUUCCAGGAAAAACUUCUAAGCUUCAGGCAACGAGAGGCCGUACCCCAAACCGACACAGGUGGUCGGGUAGAGAAUACCAAGGCGCUUGAGAGAACUCGGGUGAAGGAACUAGGCAAAAUGGUACCGUAACUUCGGGAGAAGGUACGCCGCUUUGAUGGUGAAGUCCCUUGCGGAUGGAGCUGAGGAGGUCGCAGAUACCAGGUGGCUGCGACUGUUUAUUAAAAACACAGCACUCUGCAAACUCGUAAGAGGACGUAUAGGGUGUGACGCCUGCCCGGUGCCGGAAGGUUAAUUGAUGGGGUUAGCGUAAGCGAAGCUCUUGAUCGAAGCCCCGGUAAACGGCGGCCGUAACUAUAACGGUCCUAAGGUAGCGAAAUUCCUUGUCGGGUAAGUUCCGACCUGCACGAAUGGCGUAACGAUGGCCACACUGUCUCCACCCGAGACUCAGUGAAAUUGAAAUCGCUGUGAAGAUGCAGUGUACCCGCGGCAAGACGGAAAGACCCCGUGAACCUUUACUAUAGCUUUACACUGGACUUUGACCUGACUUGUGUAGGAUAGGUGGGAGGCUUUGAAGCCGGGACGCCAGUUCUGGUGGAGCCAACCUUGAAAUACCACCCUGGUCAUGUCGGGGUUCUAACCUGGGCCCGUAAUCCGGGUCGAGGACAGUGUCUGGUGGGUAGUUUGACUGGGGCGGUCUCCUCCCAAAGAGUAACGGAGGAGCGCGAAGGUGGGCUAAGCAUGGUCGGACAUCAUGCGGUUAGUGCAAAGGCAUAAGCCCGCUUAACUGCGAGACGGACAAGUCGAGCAGGUGCGAAAGCAGGUCUUAGUGAUCCGGUGGUUCUGUAUGGAAGGGCCAUCGCUCAACGGAUAAAAGGUACUCCGGGGAUAACAGGCUGAUACCGCCCAAGAGUUCAUAUCGACGGCGGUGUUUGGCACCUCGAUGUCGGCUCAUCACAUCCUGGGGCUGUAGCCGGUCCCAAGGGUAUGGCUGUUCGCCAUUUAAAGUGGUACGCGAGCUGGGUUUAGAACGUCGUGAGACAGUUCGGUCCCUAUCUGUCGUGGGCGUUGGAGAUUUGAGGGGAGCUGCUCCUAGUACGAGAGGACCGGAGUGGACGUUCCUCUGGUGUUCCGGUUGUCACGCCAGUGGCAUUGCCGGGUAGCUAUGUACGGACGGGAUAACCGCUGAAAGCAUCUAAGCGGGAAGCCCACCCCAAGAUGAGAUCUCCCUGGAGCCGUGAGCUCCCUGAAGGGCCCUGGAAGACCACCAGGUUGAUAGGCGGGGUGUGUAAGCGCUGUGAGGCGUUGAGCUAACCCGUACUAAUUGCCCGUGAGGCUUGACCAUAUAACACCCAAGAAGUCUGGG